rnacentral:rRNA from 1 species
GGAGUUAGCCGGUGCUUCUUCUGCGUAGUAACGUCACAGAUGUAAGGUAUUAACUUACACCCUUUCCUCCUCGCUGAAAGUGCUUUACAACCCGAAGGCCUUCUUCACACACGCGGCAUGGCUGCAUCAGGGUUUCCCCCAUUGUGCAAUAUUCCCCACUGCUGGCCUCCCGUAGGAGUCUGGGCCGUGUCUCAGUCCCAGUGUGGCUGAUCAUCCUCUCAGACCAGCUAGGGAUCGUCGCCUAGGUGAGCCUUUACCUCACCUACUAGCUAAUCCCACCUGGGCUUAUCCAUCAGCGCAAGGCCCGAAGGUCCCCUGCUUUCCCCCGUAGGGCGUAUGCGGUAUUAGCAGUCGUUUCCAACUGUUAUCCCCCACAAAUGGGCAAAUUCCCAGGCAUUACUCACCCGUCCGCCGCUCGUCAUCUUCAAAAGCAAGCUUUUGAAAUGUUACCGCUCGACUUGCAUGUGUUAGGCCUGCCGCCAGCGUUCAAUCUGAGCCAGAUCAAACUCUGA